GAUAUGUGGCCACCUCACUUUCUAGCAGAAGUCUACUACUUCACCACCCAAGGACAUCUUCCUUAUGGAUCACAGAUUUGCCGAAGCAAAAAAAAAAUGUGAUUGUUCCUUUUAUUGUCUCAAAGCAAUUUAAGCGUCAAGUGCCUCUGGAAGUCCAAUCCAUUUCUUUCCAAUUUCAAGGAUGUACAUCUACAUUUGAAAUGACAGCAACUACUUCAGAAAUCUUAAGAACCGCAACAAUAAAAAUCCUCUGUGGCCUAAAUCCAACUCCUGGCUCAAACAAGAACAGAUCCACUGAAUCAAUAGCUGAAUGAUACCUUGGUCUGUGAAUUUUCAAGAAAGAAGUGUAUUCCCUUUCCUGGAAGAAUCUUGGAGUGGUAAUUAAACUUUUUCAAA